rnacentral:pre_miRNA from 1 species
UAUGUACUCCCUCCGUCCGGAAUUACUUGUCAUCAAAAUGGAUGUGUCUAGAACUAAAAUACAUAUAGAUACAUCCAUUUCAAUGACAAGUAUUUUCGGACAGAGGGAGUACAAG